rnacentral:sRNA from 1 species
AGGUACCCCGCGUGCGCUCUGGUUCCUCCGCGCCGUCCACGCCCACCUGACGACUGCUCGCCACGUUUUGUUAGCC